rnacentral:rRNA from 1 species
CCUACGGGUGGCAGCAGUGAGGAAUAUUGGUCAAUGGACGAGAGUCUGAACCAGCCAAGUAGCGUGAAGGAUGACUGCCCUAUGGGUUGUAAACUUCUUUUAUAUGGGAAUAAAAUGUUCCACGUGUGGGAUUUUGUAUGUACCAUAUGAAUAAGGAUCGGCUAACUCCGUGCCAGCAGCCGCGGUAAUACGGAGGAUCCGAUCGUUAUCCGGAUUUAUUGGGUUUAAAGGGAGCGUAGGUGGAUUGUUAAGUCAGUUGUGAAAGUUUGCGGCUCAACCGUAAAAUUGCAGUUGAAACUGGCAGUCUUGAGUACAGUAGAGGUAGGCGGAAUUCGUGGUGUAGCGGUGAAAUGCGUAGAUAUCACGAAGAACUCCGAUUGCGAAGGCAGUUCACUGGACUGCAACUGACACUGAGGCUCGAAAGUGUGGGUAUCAAACAGGAUUAGAUACCCGAGUAGUC